UACGGAGGGUGCGAGCGUUGUCCGGAAUCAUUGGGCGUAAAGCGCGUGUAGGCGGCUCGAUAAGUCCGCUCUGAAAGUCCAGGGCUCAACCCUGGGAUGCGGGUGGAUACUGUCGGGCUCGAGUCCGGAAGAGGCGAGUGGAAUUCCUGGUGUAGCGGUGAAAUGCGCAGAUAUCAGGAGGAACACCAAUGGCGAAGGCAGCUCGCUGGGACGUGACUGACGCUGAGACGCGAAAGCGUGGGGAGCAAACAGG
rnacentral:rRNA from 1 species